rnacentral:rRNA from 1 species
AGGCAGCAGUAAGGAAUAUUGGUCAAUGGAGGGAACUCUGAACCAGCCAUGCCGCGUGCAGGAUGACUGCCCUAUGGGUUGUAAACUGCUUUUGUCAGGGAAUAAACCUUUCCACGUGUGGGAAGCUGAAUGUACCUGAAGAAUAAGGAUCGGCUAACUCCGUGCCAGCAGCCGCGGUAAUACGGAGGAUCCAAGCGUUAUCCGGAUUUAUUGGGUUUAAAGGGUGCGUAGGCGGUCCUAUAAGUCAGUGGUGAAAGACGGCAGCUUAACUGUCGCAGUGCCUUUGAUACAGCAGGACUUGAAUCUAUUUGAAGUGGGCGGAAUAAGACAAGUAGCGGUGAAAUGCAUAGAUAUGUCUUAGAACUCCGAUUGCGAAGGCAGCUCACUAAGUUAGUAUUGACGCUGAUGCACGAAAGCGUGGGGAUCAAACAGGAUUAGAUACCCCAGUAGUCC